rnacentral:pre_miRNA from 1 species
UCUUAUGGAUGAGCAAAGAAAGUGGUUUCUUGAAAAGGAAUCUAUUGCUGGCGAAGAUGUUGUGAA